ACUUCAAAAUAUUCUUAUGAAAUGGAUGGCAUCUCUGUAUCCUGUGGAAAGAGUGAAUCUGGUCUGUAAAAGCUAAAUACACUGAUGGUGGUCUAAUCAAGCUUCACUUCUGGAAGUGCUGACUAGCCACUUCUGCUGCCAAAAGGGAUCUAAACUGCAAACGUUCAGUGUGAUAGUGAAUACUUAUGACAGUGAGCAUCCUAAUCAAAUAUGUUUUUGAUACUAUAGAUAUUUCAGGUCUGAGAGAGAACUUGGUCCUGGUGAAAUGACUGCAGAUUCAGCUUUUAAUACAGAGAGACAUGUUUGUUUUAAACUGGAAUGUAAGAGAGCAGAGGGCAUUUUCAGUCUUCAGAGAAGCACCAGUCAGAAUUCAUCUUAAAAAUGAACAGGAAAAAAAGUUUGCUUUGGAAGUAAAGGAUGUUUUUUCUGAAAUAGCUGGUAAAACACAAUUAGACAGCAGUUAAGUUGUUUGCUCAUACUAUGUAGGAGAUCUGUGGAAAAAUAAGCAGUAAGUAAUCUAAAAUUAGAAUAGUACAUUCUCUCACAGCAGGAAAUAACUGCUCUCAGUUCUUCUUGAAAAUCAAAGAAAAACAAACUUUUAACAAAAAACAUCAAAUUUUUUCUGUAAUCUUUGUAAAACAUUACGCAAUGUAAAGCAAUACAAUGAAGUAGGAGAUUUUUUAAUAAAUUAAAACACUGUUAGUAUCUAGAGCAUUAAAUAUGACUAUUCUGCCAGAAUUACUAUGAAUCAGAGGUAAUGUCUGGUUUAUUAGUGUACUGUGUACGUACCAUAUAAUAAUGGAAAACAACUUAAAACUUUCUGGCCUUAAGACACUUAUUGUGUGUCUGUGUCUGAACUCACUUUUCGUGAGAAAAGACCAUCUCCAAAUUUUAAUUA